UCUCUCUCUCUUCUUGUUUCUCAACACUGCGAGAGACGUGGGAGGGAGAGAUUUUCUCCAUUGCAUCAAGAUUUGCCGGUGAAGAAGCUUCAUUUCUCGUUGUGGGGAGUCUUGGGACGGUGGGAAGCUUGGAGAAAGAGGGUUUUUUGGUUUUUAACACCAAGAAGGUAAGAAAUAACUCAUUUUUGCCGUUGAAUCGUUCAUUUCUCUUAUUUCCUACAUUUAUUUGUAUGUUUUUACUUGUUUUGUGAAGAUAUAAUGUCGGAUCCUGCAUGGCAGUGGUGUACAAGGGUGAAUCCCAAAGAUAGAUUAAGAGUUAAGUGCAAUUAUUGUAAGCAAAUCAUAUCAGGAGGGAUUUCUCGCUUUAAACACCAUAUAGCUGGUACACACAGCGAUGUGGCUGCUUGCAAUGGCUCCCAAGAGAUCCCAUUGCCAGCGUAUGUAAAGCACCAGUGUCAGCAGCUUCUUGAUGCAGUGAAAGCAAGUAGGAUUGAAAAGGACAUGGAAGAUGCGGAGGAAGGUUAAGGGGACCCACAUGAAGGAGAAGAAAGUGAAGGUGAAGAUGUUCAACUUGAACAAGAAGAUGUUGGUGUCAGUUUGGGAACAACUAAAGGGAAAGGCAUCAUGCAUGGAGGUGGUUCUUCUGCAACUGCAACCAGAAAAAGAAGAGGUGCAAGUAUAAGUUCAGUUUCACGAGGACGUGGUAGAAGUCAGGGUCGUACUGGUGGUGGUAGAGUACCUACUAUGAAGUCGAGCAAUAUGUCUGGUUCGAUCAAGAAUUUUUUUCCCAAUUAUACUGCUGCUGGUGCUCAGCCUGAGAUUCGUAUAGCCAUGCAAUCAAAGGAUAUUAUUAAAGCAGCAGAUGAAACCAUAGGAAGGUGGUUCUAUGAUGCAUCCAUUCCCUUCAAUGCAGCAAACUCUUAUCAUUAUCAGCCUAUAGCAGAUGUGAUUGCUAGUGUAGGGCGAGGGUAUAAAAUGCCCUCUUUUCAUAAAUUGCGAGGUAAAAUUCUCAACAAUAUAGUUAGAGAUGUGAAGACAUAUUGUGAUGAACUAAAGUUGAGUUGGAAAGCUACAGGAUGCAGUGUAAUGGCAGAUGGGUGGACAGACAUCAAGAACAGAACAUUGGUAAACUUCCUUGUAUAUUGCCCUCUUGGUACUAUGUUCUUAAAAUCUGUUGAUUUGUCUGAUACUCCGAAGACUGCUGAUGUGUUGUUUGGGAUUUUUGAUAAAGUUAUAGAAGAAGUUGGGCCUGAAAAUGUCGUACAAUUUAUCACUAAUAAUGCAGCAAAUUAUAAAGCUGCAGGUGAAAUGUUAGCAGCACGAUAUGGGACAUUUUAUUGGAGUCCAUGUGCUGCUCACUGUGUAAAUCUUAUGCUUCAGGAUCUUGGUGAAAGGGAUGAUAUGAAGUUGACAGUUCACAGAUGCCAAGAAAUCACGAAGUUUAUUUACAAUCAUGCUUAUGUCUUGAAUUUGAUGAGGAAAUUCACAAAUGGGGCUGAAUUGAUUCGACCUGCACAAACACGGUUUGCUACAAAUGUUUUGACUGUGCAGGGUAUAGUCAAGCAAAGAUCUUCUCUCAGGCAGAUGUUUUCAAGUGAUGAUUGGGCUGCAUAUCCACAUGCCUAUAAAAGAAAGGCUACGACAGUUGUGGAUACCAUCUUCGAUGUUGACUUUUGGGAAUCAUGUGUGCACUUAUUGAAGAUUUGUGUACGAAAGUCCUCAGAUUAGUUGAUAGUGAAGAUAGACCUUCUAUUGGAUAUUUAUACGAGUCUAUGGAUAGAGCCAAGGAGGCCAUUAGAGAUAAUAUGAAGGGAAAAAAGAAGUUGUACAUGCCUAUAUGGAAGAUUAUAGAUGAAAGGUGGUCUGGACAACUUCAUCGCCCACUUCAUGCAGCAGCCUACUACCUAAAUCCUGCCAUUAGAUAUCUUCCCACUUUUAAGAAGGACAGAGAGGUCGAGUAUGGCAUGUUGGAUUGCAUUGAUGUAUUAGUAAGUGAUAGUAAAGAACAAGACGCUAUCCAUAUGUCGAUCAACAAAUAUGAUACGGCUUCUGGUACCAUGGCGAGAGACACAGCAGUUCGAUGCAGGACAACUAUGCGUCCAGGUAUUAGAAAAAGAAACUUUAUACUUUUUGUUGUUUAGCUUUUAUUCUACCUUCUCAUAUAUUUAUUUCUGACAACAUUUUUACUUUCCAUCUGUUAUUAGAUUUGUGGUGGGAAAGGUUUGGGCCUGAUUGCCCAGAAUUAAGGAAGCUUGCAAUUAGAAUCCUCAGUCAAACAUGUAGUGCAACUGGAUGUGAAAGAAACUGGAGUGUAUUUCAGCACAUCCAUAGUAAGAAGAGGAAUAGGCUGGAACAUAAAAGGUUGAAUGACCUUGUUUAUGUUCGUUAUAAUAUGAAGUUGAGACAAAGGCAACUAGAAACAACAUCUACGAGGAAGCAUCACAAUCAAUAUGAUCCUAUCUUCAUUGACCAUUUUGAUAUAUUAGAUUCUUGGGUUGAAGAAGACGAUCUUGAUUUUUUGAAUGUUGAAGGGGCAGCAGAGAUUGUUGAAGAAGGAGAGGCUGGGGGGGGAGCAAUGGAAUGUUGGUGACAUUCCAUUUGCAACAGAGGGGAUAGAAGAAGAAGUUAAUGAAGGAAGUGAAGAUGAUGAUGAAUGAAGAUGAUGAUGCAAAUGACGAUUGACAAUGCUUUUUGUUUUGAGUUUUGAAACUAUGUCAAUAUGUUCUGAGUUUUGACUUCUGAACUUAUGAAUUGUGAUGUAAUUGAAUACUCUUAGGUUGUUUAGUAUGUUAUUUUGUUUUUUGAAUGUUUGAUUUCUUAUUUUGGAAUGUCUUGUUCAUAUGCAUAGCUCACAGGUCAUACUUCAUAUACAUGAAUGAUGAAUGUUCCUUUAAAUACAUUUUUCUUGAAUUUUUCUGAUUUUUACUAGUUUUUUCGGAUUUUUUUAGAAUUUUUCUGAUUUUUUUCUAUUUUUUAUAAAUUUUUAAUAUUUUUUACAAAUUAAAAAAUUAAUUUUACGAUACGUUACGAUACAUUUACGAUACGUUACGAUACGGCGUAUAGGUCGGCCCGACUGAUACACGAUACGAUACGGCAGUGAUAACAUUGAUCUGAAGAUUUAGUGGUAACAAAAAAGACAUACAUAACUUUUCGAUAUUCCUAAAAAUGAACAUCAAUUUGCAUCAUUAGUUAAAAACAAACUUCUAUCGAUAAUUCUAGGUUAUUACUAACUUAAGCUGGGUGGGCUAAUAUGAUAAAAAUACUAAAAUAAGCUUCUAUCAAUACUUCUAGGUUAUUACUAAAGUAAGUUGGGCUAAUGUGAUAAAAAUACUAAGCAUGCCAUCAAUAAAAACAAAUUUCAAGACCCAUUCAAUUAGUAAAGUGAAUGUUUUAUUUUCUUUGUUAAUGCCAGAAAUUCAUCCAAGGGAAACCUAUAUGUUGGCAACUCUGUAACACGGGUACUCCUCCAAAGGAGGAGUACCUGUCCAGUACCAGUACGACACCGGUACGGGUACGGCACCCGGUAUGCCAAU